AUCGUGAAAGGACAAGGAGAAAUGAUUUCAAACUAAAAGAGAGGAGAUUUAGAU
rnacentral:miRNA from 7 species